UACGGAGGGUGCAAGCGUUAUUCGGAAUUACUGGGCGUAAAGCGUGCGCAGGCGGUUUGUUAAGUCUGUUGUGAAAUCCCCGAGCUCAACUUGGGAAUUGCAAUGGAUACUGGCAGGCUGGAGUAUGGUAGAGGAAGGUGGAAUCCCCGGUGUAGCAGUGAAAUGCGUAGAGAUCGGGAGGAACACCAGUGGCGAAGGCGGCCUUCUGGACCAAUACUGACGCUCAUGCACGAAAGCGUGGGGAGCAAACAGG
rnacentral:rRNA from 1 species